rnacentral:rRNA from 1 species
UACAGAGGGUGCAAGCGUUAAUCGGAAUUACUGGGCGUAAAGCGUGCGCAGGCGGUUAUAUAAGACAGUAGUGAAAUCCCCGGGCUCAACCUGGGAAUUGCUUCUGUGACUGUAUAGCUAGAGUACGGUAGAGGGGGAUGGAAUUCCGCGUGUAGCAGUGAAAUGCGUAGAUAUGCGGAGGAACACCGAUGGCGAAGGCAAUCCCCUGGACCUGUACUGACGCUCAUGCACGAAAGCGUGGGGAGCAAACAGG